ACCCGCUGAACUUAAGCAUAUCAAUAAGCGGAGGAAAAGAAACUAACAAGGAUUCCCCUAGUAACUGCGAGUGAAGCGGGAAAAGCUCAAAUUUAAAAUCUGGUAGUCUUUGGCUGCCCGAGUUGUAAUCUAGAGAAGUGCUAUCCGCGCUGGACCGUGUACAAGUCUCCUGGAAUGGAGCGUCAUAGAGGGUGAGAAUCCCGUCUUUGACACGGACUGCCAGGGCUUAUGUGAUGCGCUCUCAAAGAGUCGAGUUGUUUGGGAAUGCAGCUCUAAAUGGGUGGUAAAUUCCAUCUAAAGCUAAAUAUUGGCGAGAGACCGAUAGCGAACAAGUACCGUGAGGGAAAGAUGAAAAGAACUUUGGAAAGAGAGUUAAACAGUACGUGAAAUUGUUGAAAGGGAAACGCUUGAAGUCAGUCGCGUCGGCUGGGGAUCAGCCUUGCUUAAUUGCUUGGUGUACUUUCCAGUCGAUGGGUCAGCAUCAAUUUUGACCGGUGGAUAAAGGUCAGGGGAAUGUGGCAUCUCCGGAUGUGUUAUAGCCCUUGGUCGCAUACAUCGGUUGGGAUUGAGGAACUCAGCACGCCGCAAGGCCGGGUUUUUAACCACGUACGUGCUUAGGAUGCUGGCAUAAUGGCUUUAAUCGACCCGUCUUGAAACACGG
rnacentral:rRNA from 1 species